rnacentral:rRNA from 1 species
GACAGAGGUGCCAAGCGUUAGGCGGAAUCACUGGGCUUAAAGCGUGUGUAGGCGGAUCGUUAAGUACCUUGUGAAAUCCUCCGGCUCAACCGGGGAAGGGCCUCGGAUACGGGCGGUCUGGAGUGGGGUAGGGGCGUGCGGAACUGUGGGUGGAGCGGUGAAAUGCGUUGAGAUCCACAGGAACUCCGGUGGCGAAGGCGGCACGCUGGACCCUUUCUGACGCUGAGGCGCGAAAGCCAGGGGAGCGAACGGG